GAUGAACGCUGGCGGCGUGCCUAAUACAUGCAAGUCGAGCGAACAGACGAGGAGCUUGCUCCUCUGACGUUAGCGGCGGACGGGUGAGUAACACGUGGAUACCCUACCUAUAAUACUGGGAUAACUUCGGGAAACCGGAGCUAAUACCGGAUAAUAUAUUGAUCCGCAUGGUUCAAUAGUGAAAGACGGUUUUGCUGUCACUUAUAGAUGGUUCCGCGCCUCAUUAGCUAGUUGGUAAGGUAACGGCUUAUCACGGCAACGAUGCCUAGCCGACCUGAGAGGGGGAUCGGCCACACUGGAACUGAGACACGGUACAGACUCCUACGGGAGGCAGCAGUAGGGAAUCUUCCGCAAUGGGCGAAAGCCUGACGGAGGAACGCCGCGUGAGUGAUGAAGGUCUUCGGAUCGUAAAACUCUGUUAUUAGGGAAGAACAAAUGUGUAAGUAACGAUGCACGUCUUGACGGUACCUAAUCAGAAAGCCACGGCUAACUACGU
rnacentral:rRNA from 1 species